rnacentral:misc_RNA from 1 species
UCAACUUCCCAAUUUCUCUAGGUAUGGAAUUGGAAAGUUGGUUAUCACUGAGAUAGAGAGAAGAUAAGGCUGUCAAGUUUCCUAUAGAAGAUGGAAUUGGACCAGUGAGAUUAUUUUGUGACAAAGCAAGUUCAGUAAGUGACCUCAGCAUGCCAAUUUCUCGAGGUAUGGAACCAGAAAGUUGAUUGCUAUUAAGAGAAAGAGCUGAUAGAUUUGUCAAGUUUCCUAUAGAAGCUGGAAUUGUGCCAGUGAGACUAUUUACUGACAAAUCAAUCUCAGUGACAAAUUUCAACAU